UGAAUCCGGUAUAUCAAUGGUCAUACUCUGUUGUACAUGGAAACACGACGGACAGAGGAAUCGGGAGUCCGGGUCAUAGAUGUAUCCUGGAAAAAGACGGCCAUUAGAAUUUGAAAUCGUGUCAAUAGGAGUUUCAUGGGAAAGGACAACAAGUGAAAGUGGAGGGGUAGAAGGAGCUGGUUCCUGUGAGACCGGGGCACGGGUGCGUAACGCGUAUGCAAUCUACCUUGUACAGGGGAAUAGCCCAGAGAAAUUUGGAUUAAUGCCCCAUAGUAUAUAACCUUCGCAUGUUGGUUAUAUUAAAGUUCCAACGGUACAAGAUGAGCAUGCGUCCCAUUAGUUAGUUGGUAAGGUAACGGCUUACCAAGACGAUGAUGGGUAGGGGUCCUGAGAGGGAGAUCCCCCACACUGGUACUGAGACACGGACCAGACUCCUACGGGAGGCAGC
rnacentral:rRNA from 1 species